rnacentral:rRNA from 1 species
CUCAACUUGCUCGUUGUUGUGCAUGACCAUGUCUUCGACCCGAAUGCCUCGACCCCAAAGGUGUUCCUCGUACCUCGACGAUGACCUCAGGUCAGGCGGGAUCACCCACUGAGUUUAAGCAUAUCAAUAAGUGAAGGAAAAGAAACUUACAAGGAUUUUCCUACUAACGGUGAUUGAAUCGAUAAAAGCCCAACUUGAGAAUCGAAUGGCCCUACCAUUCGAAUUGUAGUCUGAAGAAACAUCCUCAAUGGUGGAUCGAGCUCAAGUCCCUUGGAAAGGGACGCCAUAAAGGGUGAGAACCCCAUUGUGCUCAAACCUUGUCGUAGGACGAGGCGCUAUUGACCAGUCGAUUGUUUGGGAAUGUAGCCCAAAUGGGCUGUAAAUUUCAUCCAAUGCUAAAUAUGGGUGAGAGACCGAUAGCAAACAAGUACCAUAAGGGAAAGAUGAAAACAACUUUGAAAAAAGAGUCAAAGAGUGCUUGAAAUUAUCUGAAGGAAAGCGAAUGGGGGUCGGUGAUGCAUCCCGAUAGGAUGUGGAAUGACGACGAGUCGGUUCGCCGAUCGAGUCAUGGUGUGGACCAGCACAAAUUGAGGAGGUGACCAACUCUUAGGCAAUCGAUAUGCCCAUGAAAUGUCAUCAUCUUGAUUAUGGGGGAUAGCGCGUGCCCUAAGCAUGCCUCAACACCUGCGUGCUCUCGGUGCUAGCCUACGGGCUCCCCAUUCUACUCAUCUUGAAACACUGACCAAGAAGUCUGACAUGUGUACGAGUCAAUGGCCGAGUAAACCCGAAAGGCGCAAGGAAGCUGAAUAGGGUGAUCCCCUCAAGGGGUGCAACACCGAUCGACCUCGAUCUUCUGAGAAGGGUUUAAGUGAGGGCAUACCUGUUAAGACCCGAAACAUGGUGAACUAUGCCUAAGAGGAUCGAAGCCAAAAAAAAUUAGUGGAGGCCCGUAGUGAUACUAAUGUACAAAUCAUUCAUCUGACAUGGGUAUAGAGACGAAAGACUAAUCGAACCAUCUAGUGGCUGGUUCCCUCCGAAAGUUUCCCUCAGGAUACCUGGAGCUUAAGCACGAGUUCGAUCAGAUAAAAUCAACGAUUAGAGGCAUCGAGGGCACAACACCCUCAGCCUAUUCUCAAACUUUAAAUAGGUAGGAUGGUGCGACUGCUUUGUUGAGCCACUCCACAAAAUCGAGAGCUCCAAGUGGGUCAUUUUUGGUAAGUAGAACUGGCGAUGUGGGAUGAAUAGAAAGUUCAUUUACGGUGCCUAACUGCAUGCAAACCUAGAUCCCACAAAGGGUGUUUGUCAAUUAAGAUAGUAGGACGAUGGUCAUGGAAGUUGAAAUUCGGUAAGAACUUUGUAACAACUCAUCUGUCGAAUCAACAAGCCCCAAAAAUGGAUGGUACUGAAGUGCGUGACUUAUACCCGAUGGUUGACGAUAAUGUUAGGGAGUCCGGAGACAUCGUCGAGGGCCUUAGAAAGAGUUAUCUUUUCUAUUUAAUAGUCUGUCCACCCUAGAAAUGGCUCGAUCGGAGGUAGGGUUCAGCGACUAGAAAAGCAUCACACGUCUCCUGAUGUUCGGUGUGCCCCCAGUGACCCGUGAAAAUCCAGAAGACCGAGUACCAUCCGCACCCGAUCGUACUCAUAACUGCAUCAGGUCUCCAAGGUAAAAAAACCUCUGGUCAAUGGAACAAUGUAGGCAAGAGAAGUCAGUAAAAUGGAUCCGUAAGCUCGGGAAAAGGAUUGGCUCUAACGGCUGGGCAUGGGGGUCCCAGUCCUGAACCCAUCGACUAUCGAUGGACUAUUCGAUCUGCUCCCGCGAUGAGAGCGGGCUGACGCAUGCCGAUCGGGGGACGAACUGGGAACAUUUCCUUCGGGGGCCUUCUCCGAACGUCGAACGGUCGACUAAGAACUAGUAUAGAGAAGGGAAAUCCGACCGUUUAAUUAAAACAAAGGAUUGCAAUGGUCCCCGUGGAUGCUCAUGCAACUUAAUUUCUGCCCAGUGCUCUGAAUGUCAAAGUGAAGAAAUUCAACCAGGCGCGGGUAAAUGGCGGGAGUAACUAUGACUCUUCUAAGGUAACCAAAUGCCUCAUCAUUUAAUUAGUGAUGCACAUGAAUAGGUCAAUGAGAUUUCCCACUAUCCCUGUCUACUAUCCAGCGAAACCACAGCCAAGGGAACGGGCUUGGCAAAAUCGACGGGGAAAGAAGACCCUAUUGCGCUUGACUCUAGUUUGACUUUGUAAAAUGACUUGAGAGGUGUAGAAUAAGUGGGAACCAAAAGGCAAAAGAGAAAUACCACUACUUUUAACAUUAUUUUACUUAUUUCGUGAAUCGGAGGCGGGCACUGCUCCUCAUUUUGGACCUAAGGCUCGCUUCGUGGGCUGAUCCGGGUGGAAUACAUUGUCAGGUGGGGAGUUUGACUGGGAUGGCAAAUCUGUUAAAAGAUAAUGCAGGUGUCCAAAGAUGAGCUCAAAGAGAACAGAAAUCUAGUUUGGAAUAGAAGGGUAAAAGCUCAUUUAAUUCUGAUUUCUAGUACGAAUACGAAUCGUGAAAGCGUGGCCUAACGAUCCUUUAGACCUUUGAAAUUUGAGACUAGAGGUGUCGAAAAGUUACCACAGGGAUAACUGGCUAGUGGCAGCCAAGCGUUCAUAGCGACGUUGCUUUUUGAUCCUUUAAUGUUGGCUCUUCUUAUCAUUGUGAAGCAAAAUUCACCAAGUGUUGGAUUGUACACCCACCAUUAGGGAACAUGAGCUGGAUUAUGACUGAAUGCUUGAUAGGUUAGUUUUAUCCUACUGAUGAUAGGGUCGUAAUAGUAAUUCAACCUAGUACGAGAGAAACCAUUGAUUCGCACAAUUGGUCAUCACACUUGGUUGAAAAGCGAGUGGCGUGAAGCUACCGUGCGCUAGAUUAUGAUUGAAUGACUCUAAGUCAGAAUUCAGGCUAGAGGCGAUGCGUACACCUGUCGAUCGCUUUCUGACCCACAGUAGGGGCCUUACGGCCCCCAGGGGUACAUGUCAUUGGCCAAGCUCUC